rnacentral:rRNA from 1 species
GAUCACUUUGGCAAUCUGUACACAUUGCUGUGUAACAAUUUGUAUACGUUGGCACAGUGCUAUCAAAGCUGCAUGCAAGUGUUUUUUGAAAGGAUACAACAUGGGAUGUGAUAUUCAUGUGUGUGUGCCUGCUUUGUCCACAGCCUGUGCUGUAUGAAUCACAUUUCUUGCAACUGAAAUGCUAAUGGCAUGGUAAAGUUCAUGUGACAUGACACAAGCUUGAGAUUCAUGAUGUGCAAGUACCAUGAGGGAAAUGUGAAAAGGACUUUGGAAAGAGAAUUAAAUAAAGCCUGCAUUUGCUGACAAUGAAAGCAAGUGUGGAUGUUCAUGUAAUUGUUACUGCAUCAAUCAAUGUUCAUCUUGGUUACUGCAUGCUUUAUAUUACAGCUCAGAACAUGAAGUGUGUGUAACAGCUCUGCUUUGAUUUUUCCCACAUGGGAUCAGUUGAAACAUUGUGAGAGCACUCUUCAGUUUCCUUAUGUACCCACCAGCUUUGUCCACUCGCGUGUUGGCACA